AACAAUGAAAAUCCAUUUAAUCCUGAGCUGUCACAGGGGCUGGAAAUAAAACACCCUUGCUGUUGUUCAGUGGACUUCCUCUCACUCUCACGGUUUUCUAGUGGAAGGCUGUUAUCCCACCAAGGUGUUUGCAGGAGGUUGGGAUCGGUGGAAAGGCAGCCAAGGGGAAGAGGACUAUUGGAGUGAGAAUCAGCUGGAUAUGUCCAUUUGAGCACCUGUGAGGUUUUUUUUUUCACAUGGAGAAUUGUUCUCUGCUGGGGAGAAAUGACAGAGUCACCCAGAGAUUUAAGGAUGAUUCUGUUGCUCACUCCAUCUCUCCGGGUGAUGCUGUAAACAGGAAGUCACAGAGAAGAAAAAGAUGUUUUCUGUCAUCUGUGCUGGGGGAACACAAAGUGGGAUUCCCUGCAACAUACCAUAGGCUACCAGGAGGUUCCAGACUUGAGAUUCCAGAUCCAGGCUGUAGUUUAACAAGUCAGACCAUCACAAAUGUGUGUGUUUAUGAAGAUUUUUUUCAGGAGAUGCCAGCAAUAUAAAGAAGUUAUAUACUUCAAAAGGAAUUAAGUACCAACAGCAGCACUAACCAGUGAACCUGUCAUGAAGAAGGACAGACACACAAAGGACUGAUAUAGCUGCCUUUGGAAGUGGAAUUUACAUCUCUGACUCAGAAGUUAGGUUUUAUAUCACAAUGAUAUUCAGCAAAUGAUCAGAAAUUCUGAAGAACAAGGAGAGUCAGUUUAGGGGGCAAGGCAUAAACAUACUGGAGCUAAGCUUUGGUUUGUGUGAAUAUGUGUGUGAUAACCAGCAUCUCUCAAAAAACAGGAUGCCCAGAGUUGUUGUAGCUGCCCCAUCCCUGGAACUGUUCAAGGCCAAGCUGGAGAUGGCUUUGAGAAAUCUGCUCUAAUGGAAAGUGUCCCCGCCCAUGCUAGGGGAGUUGAACUAAAUGAUCUUUAAGGUCUCUUCCAACACAAGCACUUGAUAAUUGUGGGCUUAGCUAAAUGGAUUAUGCCCUACAUAAUCCUGGCAUCCACCAACUGAAGUAUCUUCUUAUUUGGGAGGGUUCAUAUUUUUUUUUUCCUCAAGAUGGAAGGGAUGACAGAAAAAGGCAGUAACUGCAAUCAAUUUUUAAUUAAAUAUCUUCAAAUCUAUUCUGUCAGAUUCUUUUUCUCUGCAUGACAGCAUGACUGAGGUUGAGUCUGCUCAAGAACUGAUCUGCCAAAAUUCUGAAGGAUCCAAAAUUAAAGUUACAAUAUUUCUUAAGCAAGGGUAUAGAUAUGCUGCUUGAUUUCCUGUUUUCUUUUCCCAUCAAAAUCUACUCUUUGUUUAAAAAAGCCUACCUAAAGUUCCUUAAAUUUUGACAAGCCUUGAAAUAUGCACACACAGAAGUGGU